UACGGAGGGAGCUAGCGUUGUUCGGAAUUACUGGGCGUAAAGCGCACGUAGGUGGCUUUGUAAGUUAGAGGUGAAAGCCCGGGGCUCAACCCCGGAAUUGCCUUUAAGACUGCAUCGCUUGAAUCCGGGAGAGGUGAGUGGAAUUCCGAGUGUAGAGGUGAAAUUCGUAGAUAUUCGGAAGAACACCAGUGGCGAAGGCGGCUCACUGGACCGGCAUUGACGCUGAGGUGCGAAAGCGUGGGGAGCAAACAGG
rnacentral:rRNA from 1 species